GCGCCCGUAGCUCAGUGGACAGAGCGGACGGCUUCUAUCCGUCUGGUCGAGGGUUCGAAUCCUUCCGGGCGCG
rnacentral:tRNA from 1 species